rnacentral:misc_RNA from 1 species
CCACGACCCAAAAUUUCCCAACCAAAACUGCUGAAAGCAAAGCACCAAACACUAAAUUCUUGCCCACCAUAAAUACCCAUCGAAAUGCUAGUUCACUCGUCAUUGUCAAAUUUCUUUCUUAACAGCCAUACAUUUUCGAGUGAAACAAGCACUCUUUGAUUUCUUUGUUUCUCUAAUGGCUCGCACUAAGCAAACUGCAAGGAAAUCAACAGGAGGGAAGGCUCCACGUAAGCAGUUGGCGACCAAGGCUGCCCGGAAAUCAGCUCCGGCGACUGGAGGAGUGAAGAAGCCUCACCGUUUCAGGCCUGGAACUGUCGCC